rnacentral:rRNA from 1 species
AGAGUUUGAUCCUGGCUCAGGAUGAACGCUAGCGGGAGGCCUAACACAUGCAAGUCGAACGGGAUUGAGAGCUUGCUCUCAUGAGAGUGGCGCACGGGUGAGUAACGCGUAUGCAACCUGCCUUUAACAGAGGGAUAGCCCAUAGAAAUGUGGAUUAAUACCUCAUAGUUCUUUUGAGCCGCAUGGUAUAAAAGAUAAAGCUCCGGUGGUUAAAGAUGGGCAUGCGUGACAUUAGCUAGUUGGUGAGGUAACGGCUCACCAAGGCGACGAUGUCUAGGGGUUCUGAGAGGAUGAUCCCCCACACUGGUACUGAGACACGGACCAGACUCCUACGGGAGGCAGCAGUGAGGAAUAUUGGUCAAUGGGCGCAAGCCUGAACCAGCCAUCCCGCGUGCAGGAUGACGGCCCUAUGGGUUGUAAACUGCUUUUAUGCACCAAGAAAAAGAAGGACGUGUCCUUCCCUGACGGUAGUGCAUGAAUAAGCAUCGGCUAACUCCGUGCCAGCAGCCGCGGUAAUACGGAGGAUGCAAGCGUUAUCCGGAUUCAUUGGGUUUAAAGGGUGCGUAGGCGGCUUUUUAAGUCAGUGGUGAAAUCUUGCCGCUUAACGGUAAAAUUGCCAUUGAUACUGACAGGCUUGAGUACAGUUGAGGUAAGCGGAAUGUGUAGUGUAGCGGUGAAAUGCUUAGAUAUUACACAGAACACCGAUUGCGAAGGCAGCUUACCAAACUGUUACUGACGCUAAUGCACGAAAGCGUGGGGAGCGAACAGGAUUAGAUACCCUGGUAGUCCACGCCGUAAACGAUGCUCACUCGCUGUAUGCGAUACACAGUAUGCGGCCAAGCGAAAGCAUUAAGUGAGCCACCUGGGGAGUACGAUCGCAAGGUUGAAACUCAAAGGAAUUGACGGGGGCCCGCACAAGCGGAGGAACAUGUGGUUUAAUUCGAUGAUACGCGAGGAACCUUACCUGGGCUUAAAUGUAGAGCGACAGAUUGUGAAAGCAGUCCUUCUUCGGACGAUCUACAAGGUGCUGCAUGGUUGUCGUCAGCUCGUGCCGUGAGGUGUCGGGUUAAGUCCCAUAACGAGCGCAACCCUUAUCGUUAGUUGCCAGCGGGUCAAGCCGGGGACUCUAGCGAGACUGCCACCGUAAGGUGAGAGGAAGGUGGGGAUGACGUCAAAUCAGCACGGCCCUUAUGUCCAGGGCUACACACGUGCUACAAUGGCCGGUACAGAGAGCAGCAAAGCCGCAAGGAGGAGCCAAUCUCAUAAAACCGCCCUCAGUUCGGAUUGGAGUCUGCAACUCGACUCCGUGAAGGCGGAAUCGCUAGUAAUCGUGGAUCAGAAUGUCACGGUGAAUACGUUCCCGGGUCUUGUACACACCGCCCGUCACACCAUGGGAGCGGGUUCUGCCAGAAGUAGUUAGCCUAACCGCAAGGAGGGCGAUUACCACGGCAGGGUUCGUGACUGGGGUGAAGUCGUAAC